CGGGGGAGCAAGCGUUGUUCGGAUUUACUGGGCGUAAAGGGCGCGUAGGCGGCGCAACAAGUCACUUGUGAAAUCUCCGGGCUUAACUCGGAGCGGCCAAGUGAUACUGUCGUGCUAGAGUGCGGAAGGGGCAACUGGAAUUCUCGGUGUAGCGGUGAAAUGCGUAGAUAUCGAGAGGAACACCUGCGGCGAAGGCGGGUUGCUGGGCCGACACUGACGCUGAGGCGCGAAAGCCAGGGGAGCGAACGGGAUUAGAUACCCCGGUAGUCCUGGCCUUAAACGAUGGAUGCUUGGUGUCCGGGGUUACAUAGUCCCCGGGGUGCCGUCGCUAACGCCUUAAGCAUCCCGCCUGGGGAGUACGCACGCAAGUGUG
rnacentral:rRNA from 1 species